rnacentral:misc_RNA from 1 species
AACUUUUAGCAACGGAUCUCUUGGUUCUGGCAUCGAUGAAGAACGCAGAGAAAUGCGAUAAGUAAUGUGAAUUGCAGAAUUUAGUGAAUCAUCGAAUCUUUGAACGCACAUUGCGCGCGCUAGGAUUCUGGCGGGCAUGCCUGUUCGAGCGUCAUUUCAACCCUCAAGCGCUGUUCGCUUGGUGUUGGGGCUAUUUUACGGGGUCGUACCUGUAAGCCCUGAAAAUCAGUGGCGGGCUCGCUAGCAUCCCGAGCGCAGUAAUUUUACUUUCUCGCUUUGGGCGUGCUGCGGGGUUUUUCCAGCCGUUAAACACCCAUAUUUUAAAGGUUGACCUCGGAUCAGGUAGGAAUACCCGCUGAACUUAAGCAUAUCAAUAAGCGGAGGAU